AACGCGAAGAACCUUACCAGGGUUUGACAUGCUAGUGCAAGGUGCGGAAACGUACCCCUCUUCGGACACUAGCACAGGUGCUGCAUGGCUGUCGUCAGCUCGUGUCGUGAGAUGUUGGGUUAAGUCCCGCAACGAGCGCAACCCUCGUGGUUAGUUGCAAACUCUAGCCAGACUGCCCGUACAAGCGGGAGGAAGGUGGGGAUGAUGUCAAGUCAGCAUGGCCCUUAUGUCCUGGGCUACACACACGCUACAAUGGCUGGUACAAUAGGCAGCGACUGAGCGAUCAGAAGCGAAUCCUCUAACGCCAGCCUCAGUUCAGAUUGCAGGCUGCAACUCGCCUGCAUGAAGUCGGAGUUGCUAGUAAACGCGCGUCAGCAUAGUGCGUUGAAUAUGUUCCCGGGUCUUGUACACACCG
rnacentral:rRNA from 1 species